rnacentral:tRNA from 1 species
UCCCUGGUGGUCCAGUGGCUAAGACUCCUAGCUCCAAUGCAGGGGGCCCAGGUUCAAUCCCUGAUCAGGGAA